rnacentral:tRNA from 1 species
GCAUUGGUGGCUCGGUGGUAGAGCUCCCGCCUGGCACGCCGGUGGCCCGGGUUCGUGUCCCGGGCAAUGCC